GCCCUGGAGGCCUGGUGGUUAGGCCACAGCUCUCUCGCUGCUGCAGCCUGGGUUCGAUUCCCAGUCAGGGAG